rnacentral:tRNA from 1 species
GCCUUCGUGGUGUAGUGGUCAGCACGCUCGACGCGUAACCGAGAGGUCCAUGGUUCGAUUCCAGGCGAAGGCG